CACCAGCCCCUCGAGUGGUGGGGAUGAUUAUUUGGCCUAAAGCGUCCGUAGCCGGCCGGGUAAGUUUCCCGUUAAAUCCAGCGUCUCAAGCGUUGGACUGCGGGAAAUACUGCCUGGCUAGAGAGUGGGAGAGGUGUACGGUAUUCUGGGGGUAGGGGCGAAAUCCUUUGAUCCCCGGAGGACCACCAGUGGCGAAGGCUGUACACUAGAGCACGUCUGACGGUCAGGGACGAAAGCUGGGGUAGCGAACCGGAUUAGAUACCCGGGUAGCCCCAGCCGUAAACGAUGCAUGCUAGGUGUUGGGUUGGCCACGAGCCACCCCAGUGUCGCAGGGAAGCCGUUAAGCAUGCCGCCUGGGAAGUACGAUCGCAAGAUUGAAACUUAAAGGAAUUGGCGGGGGAGCACCACCAGGCGUGAAGCCUGCGGUUU
rnacentral:rRNA from 1 species